AGUAGGGGUAGUAUUAACUUUGUGUUUUUCCCCCUCUUCUUCCCCAUCCAACGAUCCAAAACUAAUUCCCAGAACCAGCGGCCCAUUUGACCAAAAAAAACAAAGAAUCACCAGAGGCCCAUACUGUUCGUUCUGUUCGACGGUGUUCGCCUUGUCAGUCCUCACCUUCUCUUCUGAAAUGGGUAACCCCCACUAGUUCAUCAUAUUUUUUCACCGUCAGAAUUUGUGAGGGGACGGGGAGCUAUUGGGUGAAGCUCCUCACACAAAUCAGACUAUGCUCUAUGAAGGCUUAAAAGAUUUGAGUAUGGGAAGCAAAUUACAAAAUCCAAAUUUUCAUAUUGAUAUUUCUAUUGAGGGAGUCAUGCUUAGAGGAGUGGCUGGUGGUACAAUGAAUGGUUGAAUGCAAUUAGUUGUGUAUGGAUGGCUGAAGAUGCACAAGGGAUGUUCAGAGGUAGCAGUCCAGCUUCAGAUCCUACUUUUAUGGUUGUGGAAUUUGUUAGAGACCAUUUCAAAGAAGGAUUAAGAACACGCAUAAAGUUGCUAGCAUGUUAGUAGAGAAGAAGAAUCGCCUCCAGAAUGGAUGCGGUGAUAAACUUCAUUGAAUUUUUUUUCCUAUCAUAUCUAUUUUGUUCAACUGGUUGGGGUAUUUACAUGUAUCCAAGUAAUACUUUGGACGA